UAAGGAAUAUUGGUCAAUGGACGCAAGUCUGAACCAGCCAUGCCGCGUGAAGGAUGAAGGUCCUCUGGAUUGUAAACUUCUUUUAUCUGGGACGAAAACGGGAUUUUUAUCUCAAUUGACGGUACCAGAGGAAUAAGCACCGGCUAACUCCGUGCCAGCAGCCGCGGUAAUACGGAGGGUGCGAGCGUUAUCCGGAUUUACUGGGUUUAAAGGGUGCGUAGGUGGGCUUAUAAGUCAGUGGUGAAAUCUCCGAGCUUAACUUGGAAACUGCCGAUAAUACUUUAGGUCUUGAAUUAUCUGGGGGUAAGCGGAAUAUGUCAUGUAGCGGUGAAAUGCUUAGGUAUGACAUAGAACACCAAUUGCGAAGGCAGCUUACUACAUAUAAAUUGACGCUGAGGCACGAAAGCGUGGGUAGCGAACA
rnacentral:rRNA from 1 species